AAUCCACAGCACCAGGCUCAGGCCUGCCUCCUUCAGCAAGCCUCCCUGGGACCCUCCUCGGCACACACAUUUAUUGAGCACCGGCUGAAUGCCAGCCACAGCAUUUACGUGGGGUUUCAGGUGUGAAUAGCAUCGUCGUGGAGCAAGCCAGGCCUGCGGUGCAGAACAACAGAGGCAAGGUGCCGUCACAGCACCAGAGCUUGGCAGGGCCAGGGGCCACCCCUCCCAUCACCCAUCUCCUGGUCUAGAUGCAGUUAGGCUUCUGAGUGGUACCUGAAGCUUCCUUGUGCUCUUGUUCUCAAACCAUUUUCUCGUGUGUAAGAGGAACUCGUGUUGCCUCCAUCUGCCUGGUGUUUGCACCCAAAGCAAGCUCUCCAUGUGGGAGAGAAAGAAAUUAAUUGAGGAACCAAGCCUGAGGCAGAAGCACCAAAUCUGCACCUUUGUACUCUGGGGGGUUGUGAUAAACUGCCUGCUUUUCCAGGGACGUUUUCCCCACCCACCUUUGAACUACCUUAAAACAAUAAAGCGCUGUCUUUGGACAGGCUGGCCUAAUGGGAAGGUUGUCUUUCUUCUUUUUGGAACCCUGCAGAACUUCUCCCAGGCCACGAAGCUACAAUGUGGGACUUUCCUUAAAAUGUUACUAUAAGGACACAUGCACACGAAUGUUCAUUGCAGCACUGUUUACAAUAGCAAAGACCUGGAACCAACCCAAAUGCUCAUCAGUGAUAGACUGGAUUGGGAAAAUGUGGCACAUAUACACCAUGGAACAUUAUGCAGCAAUCAAAAAUGAAGAGUUCGUGUCAUUUGUAGGGACAUGGAUGAAUCUGGAGAACAUCAUUCUCAGCAAACUGACACAGGAGCAGAAAAUGAAAUACCGCAUAUUCUCACUCAUAGGCUUUCAGUGAUACUUACUGAGUGCCUACUGUCUUCCCAGAGGCGGUGGAGGUGGGAGAAAAAGGGGCCUGCCCAGUCCUCAAGCAGCUCACAGCCCACUGAGGUGACAGGUGUGCAAGGCACCCAGAAGGAUGACGAAGUCUUCCUCCCGGAGCUCCUGAGAGAACUGGGGCUUAGUGGAAACACCACACACCUGGCUGGAUCUUGUCAGGUGGAGACACUGGGGGCUGUUUCUUUCCAGUCCUGGAAGACUUGGAGUUCCUUCUCGGCGGCCUUGCUCGGCCUGCUUCGGAGCGGUAAGUCCGGCCCCUCCUGCCACACCUUCGCAGGCUGAUUCUUAUUCCUCCCUCACUUCUCAGCUGUAGUCUCACCUUUGCAGCAGGGCCACAGCCAUCUGCUGUGGGACCCUGGUCACUCCUUGCCAUAUCCUGUUGAUUCAUUGCCUGAGUGGCAGUGCCCAUUGUCUUUCCUUUCCUUUUUGAGAUGAAGUCUCGCUCUGUAGCCCAGGCUGGAGUGCGGUGGUGUGAUCUCGGCUCACUGCAACCUCUGCUUCCUGGGUCCUGGUUCAAGCAAUUCUCCUGCCUCAGCCUCCCAAGUAGCUGAGAUUACAGAUGUAUUUUGCAAUCUUAGUAGAGAUGGGAUUUCACCAUGUUGGCCAGGCGGGUCUUGAACUCCUGACCUCGUGAUCCGCCCACCUUAGCCUCCCAAAGUGCUGAGAUUACAGGCGUGAGCCACCGCGCCCGGCCGGUGGUGCUCCCUUUCCUGUUUAUUUGCAAACUGAUUCCUCUCACCUUCCCUCCCUGGCAGAUGCACUGUGCACCACCACAUUUUCCACACCUAAAACAUUGCCUGCAACACGGCGGACGCUGAGGAAAUACUGUUGGCUGGGUGAGCAAAGGCCUGUGAGCUGGCUUUUUCAUUCAACAAUAGGAGGUUGUAAUUUUUCUCAGUGGUGCAUUAGGAUAAGCCUACUUUUGUGAUGAUUGUGUGGUUUUCCAUAGUAAAUAUUUAUUUCGAUGUGUUGAGCCCCUGGUUGUAUUGUCUGGCAUUUCUGAGGACAAUCUUUAUACAUAUUUACACAGUAAUUAAUAGGAGAUUAGGUAUUAGAAUUUGUGUGGUUUUCCGGAAGUGUGUGAUAAACGAUACAAAGUUGGAAUGAAGCCCCAGAUUAUAACACAGCUUCUUCAGGUGUGGCCUUCCUGCCACUGCUGUGGUGACAGUGUGAAUAGGUGCUUGUUUUCCUAGAGAGCAAUGUGAGCCUCCUGCUAACCAUUUCCCCUGGACUGGCUCCUGGCACCCACAUUUCACUCCUCCCAGGUUCUCCACGUUCCACA
rnacentral:lncRNA from 13 species